rnacentral:rRNA from 1 species
GCGGAGGAAAAGAAAAUAACAAUGAUUCCCCUAGUAACGGCGAGUGAAGAGAGAAAAGCUCAAAGUUGGAACCUGGUGGGCAUAGCUUACCCGGAUUGUAAACUAAAGUUUUUGAGUCGUCUAGUCAGCCAGGUAAAUAAGCCCUCUGGAAAGGGGCGACAUAGAGGGUGAAAUCCCCGUCUUUGGCCUGAGUUUUGGUUAGGCGUUUGGCUUGGAAACGAAGAGUCAGGUUGUUUGGGAAUGCAGCCUAAAAUGGGAGGUAAAUCUCUCCUAAAGCUAAAUAUUGACGAAAGACCGAUAGCGAACAAGUACCGUGAGGGAAAGAUGAAAAGCACUUUGAAAAGAGGGUUAAAAAGUACGUGAAAUUGCUGAAAGGGAACCGUAUGAAAUCAGACCUACUGGUAGGUAAUCAACCUUUUCCUUGGAAAGGGUGCACUUGCCUGCUAUGUAUGCCAGCGACAUUUCGGUUGGAAGGAAAAAAGUGGAGGGAAUGUAGCCUCGGCUUCGGCUUAGGUGUUAUAGACCUUUACAAAAUACUUUCGACUGGAAUGAGGAACGCAGCAAACCGUAAGGCGAAGAUUCUAGGUGCUUGGGGGGAAUAGUUGGAGAAUUUCUGCUUCGGGUGGUGCUUCAACUAUUUCUUUCAACUCAUUUGGAGUUCUUUUAAUUUGCUUAGGUUGUUGGCUUAAUGAUUUUAUACGAC